AAGACUAUACUCUCAAGGAUCAUUUCUAUAGUUUGUUACUAGAGAAGUUUCUCUGAAUUUGUAGAGCACUGAAAUUAUUUAA
ensembl:snoRNA U3 Small nucleolar RNA U3